rnacentral:rRNA from 1 species
UGCCUACGGGAGGCAGCAGUGGGGAAUAUUGCACAAUGGGGGAAACCCUGAUGCAGCAACGCCGCGUGAGUGAAGAAGGUUUUCGGAUUGUAAAGCUCUGUUAGCAGGGAAGAGGAAGGACGGUACCUGCAGAGGAAGCCACGGCUAACUCCGUGCCAGCAGUCGCGGUAAUACGGAGGAUGCGAGCGUUAUCCGGAUUUAUUGGGUUUAAAGGGUGCGUAGGCGGACAGUCAAGUCAGCGGUAAAAAUGCGGUGCUCAACGCCGUACAGCCGUUGAAACUGGCAGUCUUGAGUGGGCGAGAAGU